rnacentral:rRNA from 1 species
AUUGAACGCUGGCGGCAUGCUUUACACAUGCAAGUCGAACGGUAACAGGGUGCUUGCACCGCUGACGAGUGGCGAACGGGUAAGUAAUGCGUCGGAACGUGCCGAGUAGUGGGGGAUAACGCAGCGAAAGUUGUGCUAAUACCGCAUACGUACUGAGGUAGAAAGUGGGGGACCUCCGGGCCUCACGCUAUUCGAGCGGCCGCCGUCUGAUUAGCUAGUAGGUGAGGUAAAGGCUCACCUAGGCGACGAUCAGUAGCGGGUCUGAGAGGAUGAUCCGCCACACUGGGACUGAGACACGGCCCAGACUCCUACGGGAGGCAGCAGUGGGGAAUUUUGGACAAUGGGCGAAAGCCUGAUCCAGCCAUGCCGCGUGUCUGAAGAAGGCCUUCGGGUUGUAAAGGACUUUUGUCAGGGAGGAAAUCCCUAGUGCUAAUAACACUGGGGGAUGACAGUACCUGAAGAAUAAGCACCGGCUAACUACGUGCCAGCCGCCGCCGUAACAC